UACGAAGGGUGCAAGCGUUACUCGGAAUUACUGGGCGUAAAGCGUGCGUAGGUGGUUUGUUAAGUCUGUUGUGAAAGCCCCGGGCUCAACCUGGGAAUGGCAAUGGAUACUGGCAGGCUAGAGUGCGGUAGAGGGUAGUGGAAUUCCCGGUGUAGCGGUGAAAUGCGUAGAGAUCGGGAGGAACACCAGUGGCGAAGGCGGCUACCUGGACCAGCACUGACACUGAGGCACGAAAGCGUGGGGGAGCAAACAGG
rnacentral:rRNA from 1 species